UACGUAGGGGGCGAGCGUUGUCCGGAUUUAUUGGGCGUAAAGCGCUCGCAGGUGGUCCGAUGCGUCGUGCGUGAAAGACCCCGGCUCAACUGGGGGGCGUCGUGCGAUACGGUCGGACUGGAGGCCAGUAGGGGGAUGCGGAAUUCCGGGUGUAGUGGUGGAAUGCGUAGAGAUCCGGAGGAACACCAGCGGCGAAGGCGGCAUCCUGGACUGGUCCUGACACUCAGGAGCGAAAGCGUGGGGAGCGAGCCGG
rnacentral:rRNA from 1 species